rnacentral:rRNA from 1 species
UACGUAGGUGGCGAGCGUUGUCCGGAUUUACUGGGCGUAAAGAGCGCGCAGGCGGCUGGUCAAGUCCGAUGUGAAAGCUCCCGGCUUAACUGGGAAAUUGCAUCGGAAACUGCUCGGCUUGAAGGUGGGAGAGGGUAGCGGAAUUCCCGGUGUAGUGGUGAAAUGCGUAGAUAUCGGGAGGAACACCAGUGGCGAAGGCGGCUACCUGGCCCAUUCUUGACGCUGAGGCGCGAAAGCUAGGGGAGCAAACGGG